rnacentral:rRNA from 1 species
UACGUAGGUGGCAAGCGUUGUCCGGAAUUAUUGGGCGUAAAGGGCGCGUAGGCGGUUUUUUAAGUCAGAUGUGAAAUCCCGGGGCUUAACUUCGGGCGUGCAUUUGAAACUGGAGAACUAGAGUGCAGGAGAGGUAAGUGGAAUUCCUAGUGUAGCGGUGAAAUGCGUAGAUAUUAGGAGGAACACCAGUGGCGAAGGCGACUUACUGGACUGUAACUGACGCUGAGGCGCGAAAGCGUGGGGAGCAAACAGG